rnacentral:rRNA from 2 species
UGGGCCUAAAGCAUCCGUAGCCGGCUGUUCAAGUUUCCGGUUAAAUCCACACGCUUAACGUAUGGGCUGCCGGAAAUACUGUUCAGCUAGGGAGUGGGAGAGGUGGACGGUACUCGGUAGGAAGGGGUAAAAUCCUUUGAUCUAUUGAUGACCACCUGUGGCGAAGGCGGUCCACCAGAACACGUUCGACGGUGAGGGAUGAAAGCUGGGGGAGCAAACCGGAUUAGAUACCCGGGUAGUCCCAGCUGUAAACGAUGCAGACUCGGUGAUGCAUUGGCUUGUGGCCAGUGCAGUGCCGCAGGGAAGCCGUUAAGUUUGCCGCCUGGGAAGUACGUACGCAAGUAUGAAACUUAAAGGAAUUGGCGGGGGAGCAC